rnacentral:rRNA from 1 species
AGUGAACGCUGGCGGUAGGCCUAACACAUGCAAGUCGAACGGCAGCACAGUAAGAGCUUGCUCUUACGGGUGGCGAGUGGCGGACGGGUGAGGAAUACAUCGGAAUCUACUUUUUCGUGGGGGAUAACGUAGGGAAACUUACGCUAAUACCGCAUACGACCUACGGGUGAAAGCAGGGGAUCUUCGGACCUUGCGCGAUUGAAUGAGCCGAUGUCGGAUUAGCUAGUUGGCGGGGUAAAGGCCCACCAAGGCGACGAUCCGUAGCUGGUCUGAGAGGAUGAUCAGCCACAGUGGAACUGAGCCACGGUCCAGACUCCUACGGGAGGCAGCAGUGGGGAAUAUUGGACAAUGGGCGCAAGCCUGAACCAGCCAUACCGCGUGGGUGAAGAAGGCCUUCGGGUUGUAAAGCCCUUUUGUUGGGAAAGAAAAGCAGCAGGUUAAUACCCCGCUGUUCUGACGGUACCCAAAGAAUAAGCACCGGCUAACUUCGUG